rnacentral:rRNA from 1 species
AAUGAACGUUGGCGGCAUGGAUUAGGCAUGCAAGUCGAGCGAGAAGUGUAGCAAUACACGGAAAGCGGCGGAAGGGAGAGUAAUACGUGGGAAUCUGCCCUUAGACCUGGGAUAGCAGCGGGAAACUGCUGGUAAUACCAGAUAAUGUCUAUGGACCAAAGGUGUGAUUCCGUCUAGGGAUGAGCCCACGUCCUAUUAGCUAGUUGGUAGGGUAAUGGCCUACCAAGGCGAGGAUGGGUAGCGGGUGUGAGAGCAUGACCCGCCUCACUGGGACUGAGACGCUGCGCAGACACCUACGGGUGGCUGCAGUCGAGAAUCUUCGGCAAUGGGCGCAAGCCUGACCGGGCGAUGCCGCGUGCGGGAUGAAGGCCUUCGGGUUGUAAACCGCUGUCGAGGGGGAGCAACUUCCAUAGAGUUAUCUUUAUGGAUUGAGUGAUCCCUGGAGGAAGGACGGGCUAAGUUCGUGCCAGCCGCCGCCGUAAAAC